rnacentral:rRNA from 1 species
GGUUUCCGUAGGUGACCUGCGGAGGAUCAUUACAUAGGUUAGAGUAAAAUUAGACCUAACCUCAACUUCUACACCGACGAACUCUCGGAUAAACCGGAGCAAAAACGGGUGUUAUCCUUGAUUAUGCGUACCAAUUUGUCGUUCCCUCGGGUGGGGUAGCCUGCCGGGGGAAAUCCCAUAAACCCUUUUGUAUAAGCAUCUCAACCAAUCUGAAUCAACCAAAAUCGUUACAACUUUCAACAAUGGAUCUCUUGGUUCUGGCAUCGAUGAAGAAACGCAGCGAAAUGCGAUAAGUAGUGUGAAUUGCAGAAAUUUAGUGAAUCAUCGAAUCUUUGAACGCACAUUGCGCCCCUUGGUACUCCGAGGGGCAUGCCUGUUCGAGCGUCAUUUACCCCCUCAAGCUCUGCUUGGUGUUGGGCGUCUGUCCCCGCUUGCUGCGCGGACUCGCCUUAAAAGUAUUGGCAGCGGUCACACCGGCCCCUUCGCGAGCGCAGUAGUUUUGCGCAUGAGGGAGGGUCAGAAGGGACAGCGACCAUCAAGUUUUCCCAAGUUUGACCUCGGAUCAGGUAGGGAUACCCGCUGAACUUAAGCAUAUCAAUAAGCGGAGGA